rnacentral:tRNA from 2 species
GGGCCCGUAGCCUAGAAUGGAUAGGGCGUCGAGUAAAGCGCGCAAGCCUGCGGAGCCGGAGGUCGCGGGUUCAAGUCCCGCCGGGCCCA